rnacentral:rRNA from 1 species
AGUCGACGAUGAUCUCCGCUUGCUGGGGGGAUUAGUGGCGAACGGGUGAGUAACACGUGAGUAACCUGCCCUUGACUCUGGGAUAAGCCUGGGAAACUGGGUCUAAUACCGGAUAUGACUUCUCAUCGCAGGGUGGGGGGUGGAAAGCUUUUUGUGGUUUUGGAUGGACUCGCGGCCUAUCAGCUUGUUGGUGGGGUAAUGGCCUACCAAGGCGACGACGGGUAGCCGGCCUGAGAGGGUGACCGGCCACACUGGGACUGAGACACGGCCCAGACUCCUACGGGAGGCAGCAGUGGGGAAUAUUGCACAAUGGGCGCAAGCCUGAUGCAGCGACGCCGCGUGAGGGAUGACGGCCUUCGGGUUGUAAACCUCUUUCAGUAGGGAAGAAGCCCCUUUUUGGGGGUGACGGUACUUGCAGAAGAAGCGCCGGCUAACUACGUGCCAGCAGCCGCGGUAAUACGUAGGGCGCAAGCGUUAUCCGGAAUUAUUGGGCGUAAAGAGCUCGUAGGCGGUUUGUCGCGUCUGCUGUGAAAGACCGGGGCUCAACUCCGGUUCUGCAGUGGGUACGGGCAGACUAGAGUGCAGUAGGGGAGACUGGAAUUCCUGGUGUAGCGGUGAAAUGCGCAGAUAUCAGGAGGAACACCGAUGGCGAAGGCAGGUCUCUGGGCUGUAACUGACGCUGAGGAGCGAAAGCAUGGGGAGCGAACAGGAUUAGAUACCCUGGUAGUCCAUGCCGUAAACGUUGGGCACUAGGUGUGGGGGACAUUCCACGUUUUCCGCGCCGUAGCUAACGCAUUAAGUGCCCCGCCUGGGGAGUACGGCCGCAAGGCUAAAACUC